rnacentral:rRNA from 1 species
CGUGUAGGUGGUUUGGUAAGUCGGAUGUGAAAUCCUAAGGCUCAACCUUGGAACUGCAUUCGAAACUUCCAGACUAGAGUCCAGGAGAGGAAAGUGGAAUUUCCAGUGUAGGAGUGAAAUCCGUAGAUAUUAGAAGGAACACCAGUAGCGAAAGCGACUUUCUGGCCUGGUACUGACACUCAGACGCGAAAGCGUGGGGAGCAAACA